rnacentral:sRNA from 1 species
GCCGGGCACGGUGGCUCACGCCUGUAAUUCCAGCAGCUUGGGAGGCCGAGGCAGGAGGAUGGCGAGUUCAAAGCCAGCCUCAGCCAAAGGGAGGCCCUAAGCAGCUCAGGGAGACCCUGUCUCUA